rnacentral:rRNA from 1 species
GUCUACAGCGAUGCUACCAUGAGCAAGCCCGAUCCCGUCUGAUCUUAGAAGCUAAGCAGGAUCGAGCUUGGUUAGUACUUGGAUGGGAGAUCACCUAGAAAGACCAGGUGAUAUAGGCG